rnacentral:rRNA from 1 species
ACAACAGUUGGAAACGACUGCUAAUACCGCAUACAGCCGAGAGGUGAAAGGAGCAAUCCGCUAUCAGAUGCGCCCAAAUGGGAUUAGCUAGAUGGCGGGUAACGGCCCACCAUGGCGACGAUCAGUAGCCGGUCUGAGAGGAUAGAACGGCCACAUUGGGACUGAGAUACGGCCCAGACUCCUACGGGAGGCAGCAGUGGGAAUAUUGGGCAAUGGGGGAAACCCUGACCCAGCAACGCCGCGUGAAGGAAGAAGGCCUUCGGGUUGUAAACUUCUUUUACCAGGGACGAAGAACGUGACGGUACCUGGAGAAAAAGCAACGGCUAACUACGUG